GCAAGUCGAGCGAGGCCAGGGGGCAACUCCUGAGUCGAGCGGCGAACGGGUGAGUAACGCGUGGAUGACCUGCCCUUUAGUGGGGAACAACCAGGGGAAACUCUGGCUAAUACCGCAUAAGACCGAGAGGUGAAAGGGGGCUCGCAAGAGCUCUCGCUGAAGGAGGGGUCCGCGUCCGAUUAGCUAGUUGGUAGGGUAAUGGCCUACCAAGGCCACGAUCGGUAGCCGGCCUGAGAGGGUGAUCGGCCACACUGGAACUGAGACACGGUCCAGACUCCUACGGGAGGCAGCAGUGGGGAAUUUUGCGCAAUGGGCUAACGCCUGACGCAGCAACGCCGCGUGGAGGAUGAAGGUCUUUGGAUUGUAAACUCCUGUCAGCGGGGAAAAAGCGACUCGUGCUCAUACCACGGGGAGUUGAUUGUACCCGCAGAGGAAGCCCCGGCUAACUCUGUGCCAGCAGCCGCGGUAAUACAGAGGGGGCAAGCGUUAUUCGGAAUUAUUGGGCGUAAAGGGCGCGUAGGCGGCUUGGCAAGUGGAAGGUGAAAUCCCUCGGCUUAACCGAGGAACUGCCCUCCAAACUGCUUUGCUUGAGGCCGGGAGAGGUGAGUGGAAUUCCCAGUGUAGCGGUGAAAUGCGUAGAUAUUGGGAGGAACACCAGUGGCGAAGGCGGCUCACUGGACCGGUUCUGACGCUGAGGCGCGAAAGCGUGGGGAGCAAACGGGAUUAGAUACCCCGGUAGUCCACGCCGUAAACGAUGAGUGCUUGGUGUAGCGGGUAUCGACCCCUGCUGUGCCGA
rnacentral:rRNA from 1 species